rnacentral:rRNA from 1 species
GACGAAGGUGGCUAGCGUUAUUCGGAUUCACUGGGCAUAAAGAGCGCGCAGGCGGUCGUUCAAGUCGCGUGUGAAAGCCCCCGGCUCAACUGGGGAGGGUCACGCGAUACUGAUCGACUCGAAGGCAGGAGAGGGAAGUGGAAUUCCCGGUGUAGUGGUGAAAUGCGUAGAUAUCGGGAGGAACACCAGUGGCGAAGGCGACUUCCUGGCCUGUUCUUGACGCUGAGGCGCGAAAGCUAGGGGAGCAAACGGG